AAUAGCAUCAUAUAAAUAUGUCUUUUCUUUUCUCCCAGCCGCCCCCUUCCCCAAAUUCUUUUCUCUUCCUCCAGAGCUGUCGCCCUCUCCAAAUUUUUUUUUUCUCUCUUCAAAAGACGCCAAUAGGUUUGGCCCCCUUUUGCAAUCUAAUCCUUUUGUUUUUCUUUUGUUUGUCUUGUGUUUUUCUUUACAUCCCAUUGAGCGAAAGCGGUGGGCACUGGUUUUGUGGAGCUAGCUAAUCGAAGUUCGAAGAAGAUGUUGAGGGUUGCAGCAAGGAAGCUCUCUUCUCUGUCUUCGACUCCAUGGAGGCCCAACCAGGUUCAGGCCCUUGUCUCCCGUCAUUUCAUCAACGGCGGUGAUUCCUCUUCCUCUGGUGAUCCCAGAUCCAACGGCUCUGCUUAAUCCUUCUCUUUCGGACCUGACUUCCACGUCCCUUUCAGAGUUAUGGCUAUUCCAAGGAAAGAUUUGUUUGGUCUUUGAUACCUGCUGUCGGUAUCUUUUGUCUUGGUUCCGGUGCUACAAUUGUUCAUGGGUUUCAAAACUUGUAGACAACAGAGGUAUGAAGGACAACGGGACAUGCUGUACAAUCAGACAUUCAAUCUUGAUUAAGUUUCCUUUGCUGCCGAGGGUAUUAAAGAUGCUCAGCAAACAAUAGCUCCAAUUUAUUUGGCAUCAUGCAUAAAGCAGGGAAUGGGUUUGCUAGAUUUUAUUAAGCAAGCAACCUGUUCAAAAUAAUCAAGUACUGCUUAAGAUUAUAGAUAUAUGUCGUCUGUAUGAACUUGACAGUGUAGUUCAAACAUUAUGAAGGUUUUGAUUAUGAUGAAUAGUGCUUCAAAGGAGAAAACACAAUUCACUGAUUUGUAAAAAUCUUACAUAAAUAGGCUCACAUUAGGAGUCAACUGGUGGUGGAGUCAAGUAGUCAACUGAUUUUCCACAGAAGUUAUUUUACUGUUUUUGGUGGUGACUACGAAAUCUGAGGUAUGCUUAUAUAGGAUAUUUUUCUUUUAUGCUGAACUAGUUGGCUACAAUAGGGUCACUUAGUGUGUGUAUUGCAUUGAAUUUCUAGUUUUACCGCAUUUUUUGGAAGUGUUGAAGGAUAUUUUUAAUCAUGUUGGAACUUUGAUUGUGGUAUCAGCUUGGAACUUUGAUGAUGCUUAUACACAAUGUUAUGUAUUUGAUAAUAUAUUUAUGUGUUAAUAUAAUGUUAGUUUCGAGACA